AAAAGAAUGACACUACCCCUUGAUGCUGAACAUUUCAGUGUGCCUAAAGAAAUAAAGUCAAUGACAGAAGAUACGGGCCUUCUGUAAAUUAGCUAAAGCCUCAGAUGCCAGUAGAGUUGGUUUUUUUCUGCUUUAGAGAAUUCCUCAGAUCUCUGUGAUGGGGAAUGAACCUAUUCUCUGAUGUGUGGGAGAAGACAGAAAAUCUGGUUUGUUUGUAUGUGACUUCAUACAACUCCAGAAAAUGUCCCGUAUCCACCAAAAAGGAGAACAGUUCCAUGAGACCUACACAGUUUGAUUUCAGUCAUCAAUCAGCAUGAUCUCAAGCAAAGCUGAGAAAUAGCCUUGGAGAUUUUGCUGGAGCUAUUUAAGAAAGAAGUAUUCUCCUUGGGAUUGUAAAUGCUUAGAGGCAUACUAACCUGGAGUUGCCAGUAGAUGUAUCUGUCAUCACUGGAAAAGACUGCUAAUGUAGAAGAAUUAACCCUCCCUGGAAAAAU